UCAGGAUGAACGACUGGCGGCGUGCUUAACACAUGCAAGUCGAGCGAGUAUUAGAGCUUGCUUGAUACUUAGCGGCGGACGGGUGAGUAACGCGUGGGUAACCUGCCCUGUACAGAGGAAUAACAGUUAGAAACGACUGCUAAUGCCUCAUAAGCCGACGGAAUGGCAUCUUUUUGUCGGAAAAGAUUUAUCGGUACAGGAGGGACCCGCGUCUGAUUAGCUAGUUGGUGAGGUAACGGCCCACCCAAGGCGACGAUCAGUAGCCGACCUGAGAGGGUGAUCGGCCACAUUGGAACUGAGACACGGUCCAAACUCCUACGGGAGGCAGCAGUGGGGAAUAUUGCACAAUGGGGGAAACCCUGAUGCAAGCAACGCCGCGUGAAGGAAGAAGUAUUUCGGUAUGUAAACUUCUAUCGACAGGGAAGAUAAUGACGGUACCUGAAUAAGAAGCACCGGCUAGAUACGUGCCAGCAGCAGC
rnacentral:rRNA from 1 species